rnacentral:rRNA from 1 species
GAUGAACGCUAGCGGCAGGCUUAAUACAUGCAAGUCGAGGGGCAGCAUGAUUGUAGCAAUAUAAUUGAUGGCGACCGGCAAACGGGUGCGGAACACGUACACAACCUUCCAAUAAGUGGGGAAUAGCCCAGAGAAAUUUGGAUUAAUACCCCGUAACAUAACAAUGUGGCAUCACAAUGGUAUUAUAGAUUUUUCGUUUAUUGAUGGGUGUGAGGCUGAUUAGAUAGUUGGCGGGGUAACGGCCCACCAAGGCUAAGAUCAGUAGCUGAUGUGAGUGCAGGUUCAGCCACACGGGCACUGAGACACGGGCCCGACUCCUACGGGAGGCAGCAGUAAGGAAUAUUGGACAAUGGAGGUAAGUCUGAUCCAGCCAUGCCGCGUGAAGGAUUAAGGUCCUCUGGAUUGUAAUCUUCUUUUAUAAGGGACGAAAAAAGGCUUUUCUAAGUCGUCUGACGGUACCUUAUGAAUAAGCACCGGCUAACUCCGUGCCAGCCGCCGCGGUAAGAC